GAAAAUUUAGUUAAAUAAUAACGCUAGCUUGUCAAGCUAGAAUUAAUUGAUUAUUAAUUUUUA
rnacentral:tRNA from 1 species